CUGGGGCUUUCUCAUCCACGUGAACACAGUAGACAUUUUGGGGCAUAUAGAUAGCCCUAAAGAGCCUUUCAAAGGUAUCAAAGUCCUUAUGGAUGACCAUGACAUAGGCCAAAGGGACAAUGACCCAUAACAACUAUUCUAUCACACUUUGUCUCCAUUUUCUCACUGAUGUCUCCUCUGUAUCUACGGAUGUCCCUUGUAUACCAUUGUGUUUGCACUACAUCAAGACAGCGAUUGUGGACUUGAUACCAUUUUACAACUUUUUGCUUUAUUUUCAAGAUUUCCUCGUGAAUG
rnacentral:lncRNA from 1 species